CAGGCACCCCACGGUGAUAAUGCUUCUAAUUUUGAGCAACAAAACAUGAUUUAUAUCGAUUUUAUUGAUGUACAUCAAAACUGCUUAUCUAGAGUCCUAGGUGUGGAAAUAUAGCAAAUGAGGAAACACAGAGAUCUGAGCAUAGAUUUCUCUCCCCUACAUGUUGGCACAGUCUUUGAUAGACAUACAAGACACAUAAGCUUAAGAAGACGACAGGCUCCCACAUUUGUGUGGUGGAACAACACUAGAAUGAGCAAAACUCCGGAUUCUGAUGGCAAGACUGUGGACAUUCCUCCAAACCCAAACCAAAGUACCCCAUUAGGAAAGACUGAAAAGCCUGGUACCCUGAAACAUUUACUCGACAAGCUGCAGAAAUUCCUGAAGGGGAAUCUAAAAGCUCUGGGGGUGGCUCAGAUUAUGAUUGGUGUGAAAUGCAUCUUUUAUGGGAUAAUUGGAUUUUUUGCUUUUGAUUCUGAAAUGUACCCAACUGUUUUCUUCUCAAUUUACACAGGCUUCCCUUUAUGGGGGGCAUUGUCUUUUAUCAUGUCUGGAUCUCUGACUGUUGUGUCUGCCAAGAAGCAAACAAAAUCACUGGUAAGCUAACAACCUUCCCCUUCGUCAUUCAGGGAGAAAAUGAGCACUUAUAACACUCUGAGUUUCCCACGUGAAGCCCAGUCACCCCGGGGAUUCAUUAUUUUGUAGUACGUUUCAUCGUGUAACUGUCCCUUUGGCCCAAUGAAUCACGUGGCCAUCCUAUGUCUAGACACAGACAGGCUGGAUCUCCCUGGAUUUUAGAAUUCUGAUCCCCAUAUCUCGUCACCAUAAGAAGACUGAGGAAGAAUAUAGGUGCUAACACUCUUAGCACAUUGGUCUCGAUUGUUGGGAUAUGUAUUCUGUCAUAUAAUUUAACAAAAAAUUUCCGCUAUGAUUGCAAGAAGGAAACUCUCUGUUUGGGCAUCAAAUCAGUUGCAAUUGGACUUGUGAUUGUCCUGAUGAUCCUAACUUGUCUGCAAAUUUUAAUUUCACUCCCUCUCUCCAUGCUCAUCUAUAACGUGGAUGACAGGAAUAUUCACUGGAUUUCUGAAUUUUUUUGCUGGAAAUCACCUUCUGAAAGUCCUUAUCAAGACUUGUUGCCUCAAACUUCAAUCUAUCAAGAACUUGAAUGUAAAGAAGAAACACCUUCAUGUUAUCCCACAGAUACUAGUAAACAAAUAUGAAGCUAUGCUUCUGUAUUUUGGAUCCACAGUGAUAGCAAGAAGAUCAUACUGUGACCACUGAGGCAUAAAUACACACGUGUGAGAAUACAACUGUGUGGUUCAAAGUCAUAAAGACAGCAACUAGCAUCUAUAGCAUCAAGAAUUUGGUUGUCACUAUUCUUUUGGUUGGAUGUUAUCACAGGCUAGGUGUAUGCUCUGUAACAAAACUUAACUUUGAAAUAUUGGUGGCUUAACACAUCAGAAGUUCAUUUACUGCAUACUUUACAUGUUCAUUGUUAGUUGGCUGUUUAGACCCACACUGAUAUGGGUUCUGCAAAAUAGAAUAAUAUCUCAAAAAGUUUUUUUUAUUUUGCCGAGGUAGGGAAAAAAAAGUUAGAAGUUGGACCUCUGGCAAUGAGAUACUUUGGUCGAGAAGCAUGUGUCAUUCUGGCCACAGCUCAUUAAAUGGUGACCUUCCCAGUGCUGUGUGGGAGACAAGAAAUGUAGAGGGACAGAAAAUAUCAGUGAAUAAUAUUAUCUCCACCCCAGUGUUCUUCAUCAGCCAGGAUCUAUUUUCUGAGAUCACAAUUCAUUUUCCUUAUUCAUUCAUUACUACAUGUUAGAAAAAAACUCAAUUCCUCCAACUCUCAAAUGUAUGAACAUAAAGCUCCAUUCCUUUCUUAAA